rnacentral:rRNA from 1 species
AGCUGCAGAAGAAGCACCGGCUAACUCCGUGCCAGCAGCCGCGGUAAUACGGAGGGUGCGAGCGUUAAUCGGAAUUACUGGGCGUAAAGCGCAUGCAGGUGGUUUGUUAAGUCAGAUGUGAAAGACCCGGGGCGUCAACCUCGGAAUUGCAUUUGAAACUGGCAGACUAGAGUACUGUAGAGGGGGUAGAAUUUCAGGUGUAGCGGUGAAAAUGCGUAGAGAUCUGAAGGAAUACCGGUGGCGAAGGCGGCCCCCUCGGACAGAUACUGACACUCAGAUGCGAAAGCGUGGGGAGCAAACAGGAUUAGAUACCCUGGUAG